rnacentral:lncRNA from 1 species
GAGUCCCCGGCCUUGGGUCCCCGGGGCCGCUGACUGGCCUCGGUCACCUCCCGGGGAAGGCUCCCGCGCCUCCAUCUGCCCCCGCAGGAAGGGACCCUCUUCUCGCCCGCGAGGCUUCUCCGGGUGGGAUCGUCCUGGCCCCCAGCCCUAAGGGAUCCGCCCCCUCCGAGCAUCCGCCGCCCCUCGGAGACCACUCCAGCUCGGACGGAGCCACUCCAGCCCCCGCUGCACGCGGAAGCGCUCAUCCUCCCCGCCUGCCCCGUUCCCUCCCCCUUCUCCUGUGCGACAACCAGGGACCACAGCUCCCCGCUCCCCAGGUGUGGGGGCUCCGACACGAACGCCUCUGCUCGCAGGGCGGUGAGCGCAGAUCCCACGGGUCCCUCGGUCGGGGGUCGAGGCUGCUUCCGUUUCCAUCCCGGACCCGACAAUGGGCGGGAAAAAGAAGGCUUUACACGACUACGCGGCGGAGUUCACCGACCUGGUGGUGAAGCACCUGAUUGAGCACAGUGACUCUGGGGACACGUCUGUGGUGGAGACCCUUUACUGCAGGGCCUGCGAGCUGCCCGUGCGCGUGCGGAGGGACCGCAUCCUGGAACACCUGUCCUCGGGCAGGCAGCACGGCCUGCGGACGCCCAUUCUCAUGUAAAUGUCAGUGCCAACGCUGGUGUUUCAGGAGACAUCCCAGCGGGCUGCGGGCUAUUUUAGGAUUCUCUGCCCUGCAAACGUUUCCAAAGUGCGUGGACAGGCCGCCUGAUGACACUACGUUUACGGGAUCUGCUAGUGGCUUGCCUACUUAGGGAGUAAACCCUGUGAAGUCUCGCAGUUUUAUUAAAGUGUGCGUGGCCACCUGAAUGCUGCCUUAUCACAAGCCAGAUACAUACUGGUCUGCAGGGUAACUCCCCACUGUUGAUCCUCUGAGAUGAUUGUGGACUGGGUGCUGUGAGUCCUGCCACUUUGUUUAAGUGAAUGUGUCUUUUGUCCAGCUCAGCCGCCUCGGAUCUCGCUGCCACCAGCCUUACUGCACACCCGUGCCACCCGCCCUUGCCCCGUCAGCCUCAGCCUCAGCUCAUUCUCUCAGGCAGUCCCAGCAUUGGCACGGUACCUCCUCCCGCUGUGGGCCACACGUCUCUGCUCCCUGUCAACCCUACUGCCAUCAGCACCACCACCAGCGACUUGUCUGCCCAGGAGGAUGCAACACCAUCUGCCUCCACCGGCCACCUUUCAGUGUUUCCUGCUUUCCAAGUAAAGAUACCAGCAGUGCCCGCAGAGCAGACCAGCCAGAGAUUUUCUGAAGCCUCCCACAGGGUGCUCCCCGGAGGAGGCCCGAGAUGCUCUCGUGACUUUGGAGCCGGGGUGGCUGGCCACCUUGGCCUGGGCAUCUUUGGGAUGGGCUUCGGGAGCCCGGCACUGCUGCAGAGUGUGGUGGAUGAGAACAGCUGCUGCUUGCUGUACGUGGUGGAGGACCAGCUGUGUGAUGUGGAGCGAGCCUUCAGAGCUGAGCAUUUGGGCCAACACCAGAGUGGUUCGGGAACAGGAUGCAGACAUUGUCCUCAACGACCAGCGGUGGGACUUUCUACAACGCUGCUAUGCACGACGCGGAUGCCGUAUGCAUGUUGCUGGGGGAAGC